rnacentral:rRNA from 1 species
CACGUAGGGGGCUAGCGUUGUCCGGAAUCAUUGGGCGUAAAGCGCGUGUAGGCGGUCCGGUAAGUCCGCUGUGAAAGUCGGGGGCUCAACCCUCGAAUGCCGGUGGAUACUGUCGGGCUAGAGUGCGGAAGAGGCGAGUGGAAUUCCUGGUGUAGCGGUGAAAUGCGCAGAUAUCAGGAGGAACACCAAUUGCGAAGGCAGCUCGCUGGGACGUAACUGACGCUGAGACGCGAAAGCGUGGGGAGCAAACAGG